AUGCAGUCGAACGGGGUUUAGGGGCUUGCUCCUAAACCUAGUGGCGGACGGGUGCGUAACACGUAGACAACCUGCCCCGCAGUUUGGGAUAACAGCCCGAAAGGGCUGCUAAUACCGAAUACGUUCCCCCCUCUCUGGAGGGGUGAGGAAAGGCGCUUUCAAGCGUCACUGUGGGAUGGGUCUGCGGCUUAUCAGCUUGUUGGUGGGGUAACGGCCUACCAAGGCUUUGACGGGUAGCUGGUCUGAGAGGAUGAUCAGCCACACUUGGACUGAGAUACGGCCAAGACUCCUACGGGAGGCAGCAGUGAGGAAUCUUCCGCAAUGGACGAAAGUCUGACGGAGCAACACCGCGUGAGGGAGCGAAGGUCUUCGGACUGUAAACCUCUGUCGGGAGGGAAGAAACCCAAAGGGAGGAAAUGCCCUUUGGCUGACGGUACCUCCAAAGGAAGCCACGGCUAACUACGUGCCAGCAGCCGCGGUAAUACGUAGGUGGCAAGCGUUGUCCGGAUUUACUGGGCGUAAAGAGGGUGUAGGCGGCUUGUUAAGUCGUCUGUGAAAGACUGGGGCUCAACCCCAGAGGUGCAGGCGAUACUGACUGGCUAGAGAACAGGAGAGGGAAGGGGAAUUCCCGGUGUAGCGGUGAAAUGCACAGAUAUCGGGAGGAACACCAGUGGCGAAAGCGCCUUCCUGGACUGUUUCUGACGCUGGAGCCCGAAAGCUAGGGGAGCGAACAGGAUUAGAUACCCUGGUAGUCCUAGCCGUAAACGAUGAACACUAGGU
rnacentral:rRNA from 1 species